AUGAACGCUGGCGGCGUGCCUAGUACAUGCAAGUCGAGCGAACAGAUGAGGAGCUUGCUCCUCUGACGUUAGCGGCGGACGGGUGAGUAACACGUGGAUAACCUACCUAUAAGACUGGGAUAACUUCGGGAAACCGGAGCUAAUACCGGAUAAUAUAUUGAACCGCAUGGUUCAAUAGUUAAAGACGGUUUUGCUGUCACUUAUAGAUGGAUCCGCGCCGCAUUAGCUAGUUGGUAAGGUAACGGCUUACCAAGGCAACGAUGCGUAGCCGACCUGAGAGGGUGAUCGGCCACACUGGAACUGAGACACGGUCCAGACUCCUACGGGAGGCAGCAGUAGGGAAUCUUCCGCAAUGGGCGAAAGCCUGACGGAGCAACGCCGCGUGAGUGAUGAAGGUCUUCGGAUCGUAAAACUCUGUUAUUAGGGAAGAACAAAUGUGUAAGUAACUAUGCACGUCUUGACGGUACCUAAUCAGAAAGCCACGGCUAACUACGUG
rnacentral:rRNA from 1 species